UACGGAGGAUGCGGGCGUUAUCCGGAUUCAUUGGGUUUAAAGGGUGCGCAGGCGGGCCUUUAAGCCGGCGGUGAAAUCGCGGGGCUCAACCCCGCCGAGCCGUCGGAACUGGGGGCCUUGAGUGCGGCGGAGGCAUGCGGAAUGCGCGGUGUAGCGGUGAAAUGCAUAGAUAUCGCGCAGAACCCCGAUUGCGAAGGCAGCAUGCCGGCUCCACACUGACGCUGAGGCACGAAAGCGUGGGUAUCGAACAGG
rnacentral:rRNA from 1 species